UACGUAGGUGGCAAGCGUUGUCCGGAUUUACUGGGCGUAAAGAGCGCGCAGGCGGUCGUUCAAGUCGCGUGUGAAAGCCCCCGGCUCAACUGGGGAGGGUCACGCGAUACUGAUCGACUCGAAGGCAGGAGAGGGAAGUGGAAUUCCCGGUGUAGUGGUGAAAUGCGUAGAUAUCGGGAGGAACACCAGUGGCGAAGGCGACUUCCUGGCCUGUUCUUGACGCUGAGGCGCGAAGGCGUGGGUAGCAAACGGG
rnacentral:rRNA from 1 species